GUACACACCACAUUUCAGUAAUAGAAUUCAAACGUUACAGCCUUUCUGGAGUUCUUCCACCAGAACUGAACCAGCUUCCCAAUAUCUCUAAAGUUGAUUUUUCCUACAACUA